GAUGGACGCUGGCGGCGUGCCUAAUACAUGCCAGUCGAGCGAACAGACGAGGAGCUUGCUCCUCUGACGUUAGCGGCGGACGGGUGAGUAACACGUGGAUAACCUACCUAUAAGACUGGGAUAACUUCGGGAAACCGGAGCUAAUACCGGAUAAUAUAUUGAACCGCAUGGUUCAAUAGUGAAAGACGGUUUUGCUGUCACUUAUAGAUGGAUCCGCGCCGCAUUAGCUAGUUGGUAAGGUAACGGCUUACCAAGGCGACGAUGCGUAGCCGACCUGAGAGGGUGAUCGGCCACACUGGAACUGAGACACGGUCCAGACUCCUACGGGAGGCAGCAGUAGGGAAUCUUCCGCAAUGGGCGAAAGCCUGACGGAGCAACGCCGCGUGAGUGAUGAAGGUCUUCGGAUCGUAAAACUCUGUUAUUAGGGAAGAACAAAUGUGUAAGUAACUAUGCACGUCUUGACGGUACCUAAUCAGAAAGCCACGGCUAACUACGUG
rnacentral:rRNA from 1 species